ACUUGACUCGUGGUGCUAUUUUAUUGGGAUUCGAAAAAAUAGCAAGUAGAAUUGGAUUAGUAUUUACUGAAUUUGUUCAAUAUAAAACAAAUAUGAAAAUAUCUCAAAUCAGAUGAGAUAUUUCAAGUAUUUGUGGAUUUCAAUGUUUAAUGUGGACCUUGGGGAAUGUUUAAUGUGGACCCCAUUCAUUACUGGUCAUGUUAUGAAUUUACUGGCCACAAUCUGACCUGAAUAGAUACAUUCAUAUUUCAGACAUUGGCUGAUCAACUUGGCCAAUGUGCAAAUUGCCCAGCCACUUCGUGAAUUGGCUGAUUUCAGGAAUUGGCCAUGACAUAUGUAAUGUAUGUUUUAAUCUAAAGCAAAUAUAUCUAGGAUCUAAUGAAUACAAUUAUAAGAUGCAUGCUAAUUAUCAGGUCCCAAUUAUUUUACAACAAAAAGAUUUAAACACUGCUUUCUUAUUACAAACAGUUCCAGAAACCAAAGCACUAUAGCAAAAGUGGAAGGUUAGCACGGCAUAACGUUUUCAGACUACUCGAGUCCCUCUUCAGU
rnacentral:lncRNA from 1 species